GCUUCAAUACUGCCCAUACCCCUAUAUUUUUUUAAUCUUACACCAUCAGAAAAGUAAUAUUCGCCGGGUGCUUCGGAGGUACCGGCCAGCAUCGACCCCAUCAUCACUACAAACAAACAACAAUGUUAAAAAAAUUACCUACACUUGUUCCAGUGGAAGACAGAGAAUUGGUUUUCCCCUUAAAAAAAGUCAACAACUCUGCUUUAUCCAAUAGCUUUGGUUCUGUCUUAGUGUAAUUCUUUACUAAUUAUUAUUAGUGUAUUAGUGUGGUUUUUCAAUAAAUUUUUGAUAGAAAA